rnacentral:rRNA from 1 species
UGCCAGCAGCCGCGGUAAUACAGAGGGGGCCAGCGUUAUUCGGAAUUAUUGGGCGUAAAGGGCGCGUAGGCGGCCAUGCGCGUCUUCCGUGAAAUCCCUCGGCUUAACUGAGGACGUGCGGAAGAAACUGCAAGGCUCGAGUCCGGGAGAGGGGGGUGGAAUUCCCAGUGUAGCGGUGAAAUGCGUAGAUAUUGGGAGGAACACCGGUGGCGAAGGCGGCCCCCUGGACCGGUACUGACGCUGAGGCGCGAAAGCGUGGGUAGCAAACGGGAUUAGAUACCCCGGUAGUCCACGCCGUAAACGAUGGGCACUUGGUGUCGCGGGUAUCGACCCCUGCGGUGCCGAAGCUAACGCAUUAAGUGCCCCGCCUGGGGAGUACGGUCGCAAGGCUAAACUCAAAGAAUGACGG